rnacentral:rRNA from 1 species
UUUUUUAAUUGAAAACUAGAAUGAAUGGUUGAACAAAAUAUUAACUGUCUCAAAAAAAUUUUAUUAGAAUUUUAUUUUUAAGUUAAAAAGCUUAAAUAUUUUUAUUAGACGAGAAGACCCUAUAGAGUUUUAUAUUAUUUUAUAUUUAAUUUAUAAAUAAUUAUUAAAAUUUUAUAUUAAAUAAUAUUAUAUUGGGGUGAUAUUAAUAUUUAAUUAACUUUUAUUAUUUUUUUACAUUAAUUUAUGAUUUUUUGAUCCAAUUUUAUUGAUUAAAAAUUUAAAUUACCUUAGGGAUAACAGCGUAAUUUUUUUUUAAAGUUCAUAUUAAUAAAAUAGAUUGC